AUUAAAAUAGUUUAAAUAAAAUAUUGAUUUGUGGUGUCAAUGAAAUAAUUUCUAUAUUUAUUUUUAAUA
rnacentral:tRNA from 1 species